AGAGUUUGAUCAUGGCUCAGAACACGCUGGCGGCACGUUUAACACAUGCAAGUCGAACGCAGUAGCAAUACUGAGUGGCAGACGGGUGAGUAUAAUGUGGGAAUCUGCCUUUUGGUUCGGAAUAACUCGGGGAAACUUGAGCUAAUACCGGAUAAGCCCUUACGGGGAAAGAUUUAUCGCCGAAAGAUGAGCCCGCACUUGAUUAGCUUGUUGGUGAGGUAAAAGCUCACCAAGGCAACAAUCAAUAGCUGUUCUUAGAGGAAGACCAGCCACAUUGGGACUGAGACACGGCCCAGACUNCUACGGGAGGCAGACCAGUGANAAACUGNAGGAAGGUGGGAUGACGUCAAGUCCUCAUGGCCCUUACGUGUUGGGCUACACACGUGCUACAAUGGUACUUACAAUAAGAUGCGAAGAGGCAACUCGAAGCCAAUCUUAAAAAUGUAUCUCAGUUCGGAUUGCACCCUGCAACUCGAGUGCAUGAAGCUGGAAUUGCUAGUAAUCGCGGAUCAGCGCGCCGCGGUGAAUACGUUCCCGGGUCUUGUACACACCGCCCGUCACACCAUGGAAGUUGGUUACACCUUAAGGCAAAGCUUAAAACCUUUGACUACGGUACGAUCAGCGACUGGGGUGAAGUCGUAACAAGGUAGCCGUAGGGGAACUGCGGUUGGAUCACCUCCUU
rnacentral:rRNA from 1 species